UUUUUAAAUGAUGAUUUCUUAUCGCCCCAGUCUGAUGUGUCAUGACUGAUUGAUUGACUCUGAUAAAUC